UUGUGGUCAUACCACGUUGAAAUGCUGGUUCUUGUAUGAUCACCGAAGUUAAGCAAUGUUGAGCUUGGUCAGUACCUAGAUGGGUGACCACUAGGGAAUGCUAGAUGCUGUAAG